CUUUUUUUUUUUUUUUUUUAAACUUUUUUUUUUUUUUGCUGAGUAAUAGUUUCUCUUGCAUCAAUUAUUGACCUGGUUGAACUGUGACAAAUCCAAACAAUAUGUUGCUCCUAUUACAUUAGAAUGAAAAAACAUAAUAUCUUUGUCUGAAUAAUUUUUUGGUAAUAUGUGUGGUAUAUAUGUGUAUGAAUUUUUAAAUACCGGUAAUUUUUUAAAAUUUUUAUUUUGAAUCAUUGUACUUGGUUGACUGCUUUUAUUUAUGUAACAAAUACUAAAAAUAUUCUCUUUUCAAGUCAGAACUUUAUUUCAGUGCAAAAGAUUUUCAUAAUCAAAGACGCUAAAUUGCUUUUAAAAUGAUUUUUUGAGGAAUGUAGCAAGUUUUUUUAAGGAUGAUGACCCACAAGGCAAUUUAAUCUUGAAAUUUGUUUACUGCUAUGCAAAUUGAUUAUUUCCAAAAGAGCUCGAAUGUGUUUCUCUUUACUUUGUGUCAAUAAUUUAUUUUAUUUAUUGAGCAUAUUUUACAACCAUGUUGAGCUCUUCGAAUUGUAUCAUGGAAAAUAUUCUCAAAGCUUUGUUUGGAACUAUACAGUGUCUGAAACUACAUCUUUUUGGUGGCAUUGUCAUGGAAAGUACUGUUUCAAAUAUAAUUUUGGGAAAUAAAAAAUGAAUUGACAUACUGUAAUAUGCAAAUGCACAAUUUUUUAACCUAACAAUUCAUUUGAAAUUCAGUUUCUUUGAUUUGGAGAACGUCAUUCUUGGCACCUGAAUGUUUUUUCAACAUUUGUAUUCAUUCCCAGGUUAUGGCUUUCUGUUACCGAUACCUGACCAAUGUGAAGGUCAAAUGACCUGUACAAAAAUUUUUUUUGAUGGAUGAAAAGUAAACUUUAGCAAUAAAAGUUUUCUCACAUGGGAAACUUUAAAAAAAAAAAAUAAUUAGCAUAUUUGUAUAUCUGAAUUCCUCUCUCUCCACCAAAAGUGUUUUUAAUGAUCCUUAAAGCCGAAGUUCUAGUCUUUCAUUUACUGCACACACAUUGUCAUAGUCCUUGGAUAUUUAGACAUUCUAUGAACAAGCAUUACAAAAGAAAUGUACUCAUAAAAUUGUCUUUCCCUGGGUAGGCCAUAACGUUGUCUUUCAAAGAAUAGUUAACUCUUGACAUUAGCCUGCCAUUGUCUCCCUUUGCUACUUUGGGACAAUGUUGAUUUUGGACGCUAUAACAAGCAGUGCAGCCUUGACACACUUUCACACACUUUUUAUGAUUUUCAAUAAUUGUUGGUGUUUAGAUUUUGAUUCUUGUAAGUUGAUUGAACACAAAUGAACUCAACAAUACAAAACACAUUUGCCCAUAUCUUUGCGGUUGUUGUUGUUUUUUUUUGUCAGGUUUUAUUUCUUUUGAAAUGAUGGCCAGCAUAGAAUUUUUGUAGCAAAGUAUUUUACAAAUUUUGAAAUAUUUUUUUGUUAAAAGACCAUCAUCAAUAAUAUUAUUUGUUUCCUUGCAAUUAUGCAUGUUUAUGUGACUCUUGUUUUGUUUUUUUUUUAAUGUUCUAAAAUCACAUUUUGAACUGACUUGAAAGCAUUGAAUAAAAUCUGAAAUCUAAAAGAA